AUUUAUGCGUUGAUGAGGAUAGUAGGUUGUACGUUACAUUUCAGAGAGAAGACCAUUUGGUGAAAGGUCUUUAUGAGCGUCCAGUUGAAUGUCACCUCGGAGCAGUUGCCGUGAAAAGAGUAGCGGGAACCGGACUGAACAUCCGUUAUGAAACUUGAGAGCCAGGUCUGUAACUAGACCUGUGUAUAAAGGUGGUACCGCGAAAAACUCCUUCGUCCUUUAC
rnacentral:ncRNA from 1 species